rnacentral:rRNA from 1 species
CCAUAGCGUAUAUUAAAGUUGUUGCAGUUAAAAAGCUCGUAGUUGAAGAUACGAACGCUUACACUAGAACAAAGUUUCCGGUGUCUGCGUUCACUUUUCGCAAAGACAGCCUGGCCCAUUAGUUUGGGUCUUGUUUGAGUUGCGUCAUUUACUGUGAACAAAUUAGGGUGUUUAAAGCAGGCCUACGUUUGAAUACACUAGCAUGGAAUAAUAAGAUAUGAUCUUGGUCGUAUUUUGUUGGUGACUACCAAGAUAAUGAUUGAUAGAAACUGUUGUGGGUAUUCGUAUGAGCAUGUCAGAGGUGAAAUUCUUGGAUUUUGAUCAGACGAACUACUGCGAAAGUAUUUACCAAGGAUGUUUUCAUUAA